rnacentral:rRNA from 1 species
CCUCAAGAUGAGUCAUCCCUAGACCUUUAAGGUCUCUAAAGGGUUGUUGAAGACUACGACGUAGAUAGGCAGGGUGUGUAAGUGCUGCGAGGCAUUGAGCUAACCUGUACUAAUUGCCCGUGAGGCUUAACCAUACAACACCCAAGGGGUUUUAG